rnacentral:rRNA from 1 species
GAAGAAAGCUGGCGGCGUGCUUAACACAUGCAAGUCGAACGGAAAGGCCCUGCUUUUGUGGGGUGCUCGAGUGGCGAACGGGUGAGUAACACGUGAGUAACCUGCCCUUGACUUUGGGAUAACUUCAGGAAACUGGGGCGAAUACCCGAUAUGAGCUCCUGCUGCAUGGUGUGGGUUGGAAAGUUUCGGCGGUUGGAGAUGGACUCGCGGGUUAUCAGCUUGUUGGUGAGGUAGUUGAUUACCAAGUGUUUGACGGAUAGCCGGCCUGAGAGGGUGGACGGCGACAUGGGGCCUGAGGUACGCAGCAGUAGGCUACGGGAGGCAGCAGUGGAGAAUAUUGCACAGCGAGCGGAAGCCAGAUACAGCAACGCUGCGUGCGUGAUGACGGCCUUCGGGUUGAGAACCGAUUUCGCAUGUGACGAAGAGUGAGUGACGGUAUUGAGUAAAGAAGCAACGGCUAACUACGUG